rnacentral:rRNA from 1 species
AACGAACGCUGGCGGCAGGCCUAACACAUGCAAGUCGAACGCUGUAGCAAUACAGAGUGGCAGACGGGUGAGUAACGCGUGGGAACAUGCCCUUCGGUUCGGAAUAACUCAGGGAAACUUGAGCUAAUACCGGAUACGCCCUCAGGGGGAAAGAUUUAUUGCCGAAGGAUUGGCCCGCGUCCGAUUAGCUAGUUGGUGAGGUAACGGCUCACCAAGGCGACGAUCGGUAGCUGGUCUGAGAGGAUGAUCAGCCACACUGGGACUGAGACACGGCCCAGACUCCUACGGGAGGCAGCAGUGGGGAAUAUUGGACAAUGGGCGCAAGCCUGAUCCAGCCAUGCCGCGUGAGUGAUGAAGGCCCUAGGGUUGUAAAGCUCUUUCGCCAGGGACGAUAAUGACGGUACCUGGAUAAGAAGCCCCGGCUAACUUCGUGCCAGCCGCCGCAGUAACAC